rnacentral:ncRNA from 2 species
UAGAAAAGUAUAAAUACAGGUUUUUGACGCGCCGUAAGGGCGUCAGGAAGGAGGUGCGUAUUGUAAAAAUACAAUUCCUCCGCAGCCCCCGCUGCUGUGAUGCCGACGAGCCCACAAGACGCCACUGAUGAACAUCGGGAAGGUGUGGGUAAGGAUGACGCUAAGCCAGAAGACCAGCCUGUAAAAACCCAAUAUU